AGGAAGAGCAGCUCCAAAGCUCUGUUCCUGUUUAACCACGGAUGGAAAUUCUCAUCUUCUGUGUCCAUGGAAGCACUAGGCACGUGUGAAAUAUGAACCAGCAUACCCAGAAAAAACUAAACGAGACCUUGAAUGAUGAACAAUGGGAAGGAAACUUUUCUCAAUGUGGUGAACACUGCGCUGUUACUGAGAACGAGACAAGUUCCGGAGGCGCUGGACCCGGUGGUUGGUUAUGGCACAAGCUUGAACUGGGCACAUCACUGGGUACAAACUGUCCUCGUUCUUUGGUGACCGAC